rnacentral:rRNA from 1 species
AUGUUCAUCGAGAGCUUCCGCGUGGAGAGCCCGAACGUGCGGUACGGCGCGGGGGAGAUCGAGUCGGAGUACCGCUACGACACGACGGAGCUGGUGCACGAGAGCCACGACGGCGCCUCCAAGUGGGUCGUCCGCCCCAAGUCCGUCAACUACCACUUCAAGACCAACACCACCGUCCCCAAGCUCGGGGUGAUGCUUGUGGGGUGGGGCGGCAACAAUGGCUCCACACUCAUGGCUGGGGUCAUCGCCAACAGGGAUGUCUCAUUUGAGGCUGAUGGCGAGUUUAAUCAAUUUAGGGGGAUCUCAUGGGCGACCAAGGACAAGGUGCAGCAGGCCAACUACUUUGGGUCCCUCACCCAGGCCUCCACCAUCAGGGUCGGGAGCUACAACGGAGAGGAGAUCUAUGCGCCCUUCAAGAGCCUCCUGCCCAUGGUAAACCCAGAUGACCUUGUGUUUGGGGGCUGGGACAUUAGCAGCAUGAACCUGGCUGAUGCUAUGACCAGGGCCAAGGUGCUGGACAUUGACCUGCAGAAGCAGCUCAGGCCCUACAUGGAGUCCAUCGUGCCACUCCCCGGCAUCUAUGACCCGGACUUCAUCGCUGCCAACCAGGGCUCCCGGGCUAACAAUGUCAUCAAGGGCACAAAGAAAGAGCAGAUGGAGCAGAUUAUCAAAGACAUAAGGGAGUUCAAGGAGAAGAACAAGGUGGACAAGGUAGUGGUGCUUUGGACGGCAAACACUGAAAGGUACAGCAACGUCUCUGUUGGGCUUAAUGACACGAUGGAGAACCUCUUGGCGUCUGUGGACAAGAACGAGGCAGAGAUAUCUCCGUCAACACUGUAUGCCAUCGCCUGCGUCAUGGAGGGUGUGCCAUUCAUCAACGGGAGCCCUCAGAACACCUUUGUGCCUGGGCUGAUCGAUCUUGCUAUUAAGAACAACUGCCUGAUUGGUGGCGAUGAUUUCAAGAGUGGCCAGACCAAGAUGAAAUCUGUCUUGGUGGAUUUCCUUGUUGGUGCUGGAAUCAAGCCCACCUCAAUUGUCAGCUACAACCAUCUGGGGAACAACGAUGGGAUGAACCUAUCUGCGCCGCAGACAUUCCGUUCCAAGGAGAUCUCCAAGAGUAACGUGGUGGAUGACAUGGUCUCGAGCAAUGCUAUCCUCUACGAGCCCGGGGAACAUCCUGACCACGUCGUCGUGAUCAAGUAUGUGCCAUACGUUGGAGACAGCAAGAGGGCCAUGGACGAGUACACCUCGGAGAUCUUCAUGGGCGGCAAGAGCACCAUCGUGCUCCACAACACCUGCGAGGAUUCGCUCCUCGCCGCACCGAUCAUUCUUGAUCUGGUGCUCCUGGCCGAGCUCAGCACCAGGAUUCAGCUGAAGGCCGAGGGAGAGGACAAGUUCCACUCCUUCCAUCCGGUUGCCACCAUCCUGAGCUACCUCACCAAGGCACCCCUUGUUCCUCCUGGCACGCCGGUGGUGAACGCCCUGGCGAAGCAGAGGGCCAUGCUGGAGAACAUCAUGAGGGCGUGCGUCGGCCUGGCGCCCGAGAACAACAUGAUCCUGGAGUACAAGUGA